rnacentral:lncRNA from 1 species
CUCUGUCGGUAAAGUAACUAGAAUAAAUAUACCAUGUAAAAGCUCACACAUAGAACACAUAUAUGAUACUUCAAAUUGAAUAAGAAAAUAAAUAUUUUUGAAUCAAAAUAUCUUAGGAGAAUAUAAAAGAAUGUACCUGACUACAUUAGAUCGGUUUUCUCAAUCUGACCCUAAAUUCAUUGCAGAUCCUUUUUACUUACUCGAGUCUAAUUAGUUUAAAGCAAAAGGGAAAAAGAGUUCCUAUGACUACACACCGUGAGAAGAGAGAAGUGGAAGAAUGAGUUGCAAAAUAUAUUUUUAUCAUAUAGUUAAAAAAAAACCUCAAACAUGUAUAACACCCACAAAUUAAACAUUCAUUCACUUAGAGGAAGGAAAAAAACUCAAAAAGAUAGAAUUCAUAGAACCCAAUGUCAAGAAAAUUUACAAGCAUUUUUUCCCUGAUUCCAUCAAAAAAGAACUCACAAUCAAAAAAGUUGAAAUGUAUAAAUUAAUCGAAAGUUCAAUCAAAUACCACAAAAUCAAUAAAGUUCUGUAAGUUCUUAUAAAAAGAACUAAAAACACUAACCCGUUUCCUAGAUUGUUUCCUAGAUUGAGCCCUAAAAGAAUAGCGAACCCUAGAAAAGCAGCAAAAAAAUUAUUCAUCCCUAAAAAAAAAUUGACCCGAUAAAUCAUAACAUUUACCUGAGGUUUAUAAGAAAAUAUCAUAUUUCGAGUCUUCUUUGCCAGAUCGUCUUCUGUAACAUGACUGAUGCGUACACCUUUGUGUAGUUACGACAGUAAGAAGAGACGAAGGGGAAGGACAAGGGGAACCAAAAAAGGUUAGGAGAAAAG